CUUUGAGGCCCUUCGAUGAUGGAGUCGAUGGUCCCGAUUGGAGGCCGAUCUCUGGGCUGCUCCUCCCUCCUUGGCGGUUCAGGUUGCGGCAGGGCCCUCGGUCGAUCUUCUCUACCCUCAGGCCGACGUCGAAUGAACCUACCGAGUCGACCUCGCUGGAUGAGCUCCUCGAUCUCGUCUUGGAGCUAGAUGCAUUCCUCCGUGUCGUG
rnacentral:lncRNA from 1 species